rnacentral:ribozyme from 2 species
GCCUUAAUGCAGCCGCCCGAUUGGGCGCAGGUCGCAAGCCCUGAACGAUGCAGAGCGAGGA